rnacentral:rRNA from 1 species
CAAGUCAUCAUGGCCCUUACGAGUAGGGCUACACACGUGCUACAAUGGCGCAUACAGAGGGCGGCCAACUUGCGAAAGUGAGCGAAUCCCAAAAAGUGCGUCGUAGUCCGGAUUGGAGUCUGCAACUCGACUCCAUGAAGUCGGAAUCGCUAGUAAUCGUGGAUCAGAAUGCCACGGUGAAUACGUUCCCGGGCCUUGUACACACCGCCCGUCACACCAUGGGAGUGGGCUGCAAAAGAAGUGGGUAGUUAACCUCGGGAGGAC